UACGAAGGGGGCUAGCGUUGCUCGGAAUCACUGGGCGUAAAGGGUGCGUAGGCGGGUAUUUAAGUCAGGGGUGAAAUCCUGGAGCUCAACUCCAGAACUGCCUUUGAUACUGAAGAUCUUGAGUUCGGGAGAGGUGAGUGGAACUGCGAGUGUAGAGGUGAAAUUCGUAGAUAUUCGCAAGAACACCAGUGGCGAAGGCGGCUCACUGGCCCGAUACUGACGCUGAGGCACGAAAGCGUGGGGAGCAAACAGG
rnacentral:rRNA from 1 species